rnacentral:rRNA from 1 species
GACGAACGCUGGCGGCGUGCUUAACACAUGCAAGUCGAACGCUGAGGCUCAGCUUUUGUUUGGUGGAUGAGUGGCGAACGGGUGAGUAACACGUGAGUAACCUGCCUCCUUCUUUGGGAUAACGCCGGGAAACGGGUGCUAAUACUGGAUAUUACCUGGUCUUCUUAUGUGUGUUGGUGGAAAGGGUUUUUAUGGUGGAGGCUGGGCUUGCGGCCUAUCAGCUUGUUGGUGGGGUUAUUGCCUACGAAGGCUUUGACGGGUAGCCGGGCUGAGAGGGUGACCGGUAAUAUUGGAAGGGACAUACGCCCCAGGCUGGUAGGGGAGGCAGCACUGGGGAAAAUGGCGCAAGGGGCGCAAGGCUGAUGCGGCGGCGCGGAGAGGGGGUUGGGGGCGUUAGGGUUGGGUAUCUCUGUCGAACAGGGUCAAGCCGCAACAAUGGUUGUGGUGACGGUAGUUGGUCAAGAAGCGCCGGCUAACUACGUG